AACGAACGCUGGCGGCGUGGAUUAGGCAUGCAAGUCGAACGAGAAAAGUUCUUUCGGGAACUUAGUAAAGUGGCAAACGGGUGAGUAGCGCGUGGGAAACCUGCCCUUCGGUUGGGGAUAACACUCCUAACGGGGUGCUAAUACCGAAUAAUAUCUUAACAUUGCAUGAUGUAUAGAUUAAAGGCGGCCUCUGCUUGCAAGCUGUCACCGAUAGAUGGUCCCGCGUCCCAUUAGCUUGUUGGUAGGGUAACUGCCUACCAAGGCUAUGAUGGGUAGCCGGCCUUAGCGGGUGACCGGCCACACUGGGACUGAGAUACGGCCCAGACUCCUACGGGAGGCAGCAGUCGAGAGGCAUCCACAAUGGGGGAAACCCUGAUGGUGCGACGCCGCGUGGGUGAUGAAGGUUUUCGGAUCGUAAAGCCCUUUCGGCAGGGACGAAUGUGACGGGUGUUAAUACCACCCGACACAUGACGGUACCU
rnacentral:rRNA from 1 species